AUACGUAGGGGGCGAGCGUUGUCCGGAAUGAUUGGGCGUAAAGGGCGCGUAGGCGGCGCGGUAAGUCUGGAGUGAAAGUCCUGCUUUCAAGGUGGGAAUUGCUUUGGAUACUGCCGCGCUUGAGUGCAGGAGAGGUUAUCGGAAUUCCCGGUGUAGCGGUGAAAUGCGUAGAGAUCGGGAGGAACACCAGUGGCGAAGGCGGGUAACUGGACUGCAACUGACGCUGAGGCGCGAAAGUGUGGGGAGCAAACAGGAUUAGAUACCCUGGUAGUCCACACUGUAAACAAUGAAUGCUAGGUGUAGGGGGUAUCGACUCCCUCUGUGCCGCAGUUAACACAAUAAGUAUUCCGCCUGGGGAGUACGGCCGCAAGGUUGAAACUCAAAUGAAUUGACGGGG
rnacentral:rRNA from 1 species